GAUGAACGCUAGCUACAGGCUUAACACAUGCAAGUCGAGGGACCGGCGCACGGGUGAGUAACACGUAUCCAACCUGCCCUUUACUCGGGGAUAGCCUUUUGAAAGAAAGAUUAAUACCCGAUAUAAAGGACGGGGCUGCGUUCCAUCAGGUUGUUGUUGAGGUAACGGCUAACCAAGCCUUCGAUGGAUAGGGGUUCUGAGAGGAAGGCCCCCCACAUUGGAACGGAGACGAGAUCCAAACGCCUACGGGAGGCAGGAGUGAUGAAUAUUGGUAAAUGGGCGCUAGCCAGAACCAGCCAAGUAGCGUGAAGGAUGAAGGCUUAUGGGGCGUAAACUUCUUUUAUAUAAGAAUAUGUAUUAAAAGAAUAAGGAUCGGCUAACUCCGUGCCAGCAGCCGCGGUAAUAC
rnacentral:rRNA from 1 species